GAGUUUGAUCGUGGCUCAGAGUGAACGCUGGCGGCAGGCCUAACACAUGCAAGUCGAGCGGCAGCGCGGGGGCAACCCUGGCGGCGAGUGGCGGACGGGUGAGGAAUGCAUCGGAAUCUACCUCGUUGUGGGGGAUAACCUCGGGAAACCGGGACUAAUACCGCAUACGACCUACGGGUGAAAGUGGGGGACCGCAAGGCCUCACGCGAUGAGAUGAGCCGAUGCCGGAUUAGCUAGUUGGCGGGGUAAAGGCCCACCAAGGCGACGAUCCGUAGCUGGUCUGAGAGGAUGAUCAGCCACACUGGAACUGAGACACGGUCCAGACUCCUACGGGAGGCAGCAGUGGGGAAUAUUGGACAAUGGGCGCAAGCCUGAUCCAGCCAUGCCGCGUGUGUGAAGAAGGCCUCGG
rnacentral:rRNA from 1 species